rnacentral:rRNA from 1 species
CUUAAGCAUGCAAGUCAAACGGAAUGUAGCAAUACAUUUAGUGGCGAACGGGUGAGUAACGCGUGGAUGAUCUACCUAUGAGAUGGGGAUAACUACUAGAAAUAGUAGCUAAUACCGAAUAAGGUCAAUUAAUUUGUUAAUUGAUGAAAGGAAGCCUUUAAAGCUUCGCUUGUAGAUGAGUCUGCGUCUUAUUAGUUAGUUGGUGGGGUAAAUGCCUACCAAGACGAUGAUAAGUAACCGGCCUGAGAGGGUGAACGGUCACACUGGAACUGAGAUACGGUCCAGACUCCUACGGGAGGCAGCAGCUAAGAAUCUUCCGCAAUGGGCGAAAGCCUGACGGAGCGACACUGCGUGAAUGAAGAAGGUCGAAAGAUUGUAAAAUUCUUUUAUAAAUGAGGAAUAAGCUUUGUAGGAAAUGACAAAGCGAUGACGUUAAUUUAUGAAUAAGCCCCGGCUAAU